rnacentral:rRNA from 1 species
UACGGAGGGUGCAAACGUUGCUCGGAAUCAUUGGGCGUAAAGCGCACGUAGGCGGGUCAUCAAGUCGGAUGUGAAAUCCCUCGGCUUAACCGAGGACGUGCAUUCGAAACUGAUGGUCUUGAGUACGAAAGAGGAUCGCGGAAUUCCCGGUGUAGAGGUGAAAUUCGUAGAUAUCGGGAGGAACACCAGUGGCGAAGGCGGCGAUCUGGGUCGAUACUGACGCUGAGGUGCGAAAAGCGUGGGGAGCAAACAGG